AUCACCGGAAGCACUUUACUAUCCGAGCAUCCGUCUUCCGGUCAUGGGCAACAUGUUUGUAGCGGUGUAGCCGUGUCCAUCUGCCUGCUUAUUCGAUUCUAUAGAAACAUCUUUGUCUAUUUGACAGCUGUAUUGAUAUCGUAAAAUAUAUUUAGCAAGCAAUCCGGAAGGCAAAAUGAAUAUACGCAACGCACGGCCAGAGGAUCUGAUGAACAUGCAGCACUGCAACCUGCUGUGUCUUCCAGAGAACUAUCAGAUGAAGUACUACUUCUACCACGGCCUGUCCUGGCCACAGCUGUCAUACAUAGCAGAGGAUGAGAAUGGGAAGAUAGUGGGAUAUGUUUUGGCUAAAAUGUAAG